AGAGUUUGAUCCUGGCUCAGGAUGAACGCUAGCGGUAGGCCUAAUACAUGCAAGUCGCGCGAACACUUCGGUGUUAGCGGCGGACGGGUGCGUAACGCGUAUCUAACCUACCCUCUAGAGGGGGACAACAGCUGGAAACGGCUGCUAAUACCCCAUAACACAGCGGGUGCACAUGCACACAGUUGUUAAAGACUUCGGUCGCUGGAGGAUGGAGAUGCGUCUGAUUAGUUAGUUGGUGAGGUAACGGCUCACCAAGACAACGAUCAGUAGCUGGUCUGAGAGGAUGAUCAGCCACACUGGGACUGAGACACGGCCCAGACUCCUACGGGAGGCAGCAGUAGGGAAUAUUGGGCAAUGAGCGAAAGCUUGACCCAGCCAUACCGCGUGGGGGAAGACGGUCCACAGGAUUGUAAACCCCUUUUAUAUAGGAAUAAGGUCCUAUUUUUUAGGAUUUGCAGGUACUAUACGAAUAAGCACCGGCAAACUACGUGCCAGCAGCCGCGGUAAUACGUAGGGUGCAAGCGUUGUCCGGAUUUACUGGGUUUAAAGGAUCCGUAGGCGGGAGAAUUAGUCGGCGAUGAAAUCAGGUGGCUCAACCAUCUGGCUGUUGCCGAAACUGUUCUUCUUGAAUUA
rnacentral:rRNA from 1 species